rnacentral:rRNA from 1 species
GAUGAACGCUGGCGGCGUGCCUAAUACAUGCAAGUCGAGCGAACAGACGAGGAGCUUGCUCCUCUGACGUUAGCGGCGGACGUGUGAGUAACACGUGGAUAACCUACCUAUAAGACUGGGAUAACUUCGGGAAACCGGAGCUAAUACCGUAUAAUCUAUUGAACCGCAUGGUUCAAUAGUAAAAUACGGUUUUGCUGUCACUUAUAGAUGGAUCCGCGCCGCAUUAGCUAGUUGGUAAGGUAACGGCUUACCAAGGCAACGAUGCGUAGCCGACCUGAGAGGGUGAUAGGCCACCCUGGAACUGAGACACGGUCCAGACGACUACGGGAGGCAGCAGUAGGGAAUCUUACGCAAUGGGCGAAAGCAUGACGGAGCAACGCGGAGUGAGUGAUGAAGGUCUUCGGAUCGUAAAACUCUGUUAUUAGGGAAGAACAAAUGUGUAAGUAAAUAUGCACGUCUUGACGGUACCUAAUCAGAAAGCAACGGCUAACUACGUG